rnacentral:lncRNA from 1 species
AAUAAUGUAAAUAGUAAUAAAAAUAAUAACGAAAAUAGUAAUGAUAAUAAUAAUAUCUAAUAGUAACGAUAAUAGCAAUAAUAUAUGAUAGCAAGAAUAAUAUUAAUAAUGAUAAUAUAUUAGCAAUCCAAUGUUGAAAAGCAUGUAAAAACGUGAAAUAGUAAACAAAAACAAAAUAAUAAUAAUGGAAGUAAUGCGAUAACUAAUAAAAUGUUUAAUAAGCACAACAAAAAAACUGAAAAUAAUUGAAGUUAUAAAAGGCUUGGGAUUUAAUCAUAAUCAAAACGAAACAUGGGGUACAAGUCAUAAAAUGCCAAGAAAUAACAAAUCAUGAACUGGGACUAAAGUAGGCACGCGUGCAAAGGGGAAGGACCGAUAGGGAAAAUAUCCCAAGCCCACAAAACGCAGCAUUCAGGCGUGGAUUAAAAUGAGUUUAUGCGUAACAUCCACGAGUAAUUUAAAAAACAAAUAGGAUUCAAAUAGGGCCAAAUUAAAAACUAGCGCAAAUAGGAAGGAUUGGGGGCGCAAAUUACCCAUUUAAGGUAAAAAUGCGCGGACCCAGCCUAUUAAUUGGGUCACCUCGCAGGCUUCUUUCUUCCCCUCCCCCCACCCCACCAAAAUAUGGCUAUUUCAAAAUUUAAGAAAAAAACCUUUAUUUUAUAUAUAUAUUUUUCAAACAUUUAAGAAGCUUUUAAAAAACCCUAAAAGUGUUUUUAUUAUUUUCUCCAUUCCCUCACUCUCCUUGUUUCCUAGCCGAAAGGCUAGUUUCCAGGCCUUCAACCCCCCUACUUGUAACCGGCGAAGCAAGGUCCUCCAACGGUGUGAGCACAACGCACGGUAAGCCUCUUCCUCUCUCCGAUCCUUCGUAUGUGCUGUGGAUCUAAAUGGAAAAAGAGAAAAAAAGAAAAAAUAGAACAAAAUUGCAGUAAAUAAUCACCUUAGAAAUAUUCUUGGUCGCUUUUCUACUGAUUUUUGUGUGUAUCUUGUAUUAUAUUUCGUAUUUUAUUUCUCUUGUGUAUUUUUUUGUAAAAAAAAUCGAUCCCCUUUUACAAAUGUUUUCGAAGGCUUUUAUAGCCUUUUUUACAACUGUUUCUUGCUUGUUUACAGGUGCGUGAUCGAGCACGACUCUGACGUGGCGUGAUAGAGUAGCGCACGUUGCGGGGUGAUGGCGUCCGGCGCGCGAGGGAGGCGUGUGGCCUGUUGGAACGGCGCAAGAAAGGGUUAGGGUUGGGGUUUGUUUUGGGUUUAGGGUUUGGGUUUCUAUUUUUUUUGUAUUUUGGGCUUAAAAAUUGGACUGUUUUGGUCUCUUUUUUGUUUAUUGUUUAUGGGUCUUGGGCCGGGCAAUUUUGGCCCAUUACAAUAGUAAUAGAAAAUAAUAGAAAUAAUAUACUGUGUUAAUAGUAAUAGCAAUAAAACAAUAAUAGUGAUAAAUAGAAUAAUAGAAAAUAAUAAUAAAAAUAGUUAAUUUGAAAAUACAAUAGAAAAAUAAUGAAAAGGGACUAAAUUGGGCUUUAAAAUAGGAGUUUCGGGGCCAAUCUGAAAUAAAAUGAAAAGGGGAGGUUUGUAUUGCAAUGCGCGAAAGAAGUGGGGGGCCAAAAGGGCAAUAUUCCCUUCCUUCUGAAACGCGCAGCAUAAGGGAGGACCAAAAAGAAAUAAAAAUAAAAUUUUGGGGCAAAAUUAAAAAAUAACGAAAGAUUUAAUUAUAAACCUAUAAAAAAGUGGAAGGACUAAAAAUGGAAUUAGCCCUUCCAUCAAAAAACAUGCGGAUCUUCCACUAGAGCAAGUUGGGUCGCGCAAGUCAGGCAUGAAACGACACCUUUUUGGGGUUUAAAGACCCAGAUCAAAACGACGUAGUUUUAAUCCUCUAUAAAAGUAAAGUUUUUUUUUUUUAAAUUUCAUUUUCCACAUUCCUUAAAAAAAAUUGAAAUCUCUCUCCCCAAACCUCUCAAGCCCUUCCCCUUCGGUGGAGUCUCGGUCACCGGACCACCGUCGCCGACCACCAGGCGUGGUUGCCGGACCUCCAAAAAGGUGCCCUUUUUUAUAUAUUUUUUUUAUUUUUAGAUAUUUUUUUAUAUACGUAUAUAAAUAUGAGGAAGUAGAUUCAAAAAUAAAACAAAAAAUAAAAAACUAAAAUCUUCUUAGGCCUUUGAUUACGAUAUUGGUGUUUUGGUUGCUUGAUUUGGUGCUAUUCUCAUGCUAUGAUAUUGCUAGAGUUGCUAUUUUUUUUUUUUUGCUCUUAAAAUGAAAUCGAAUGCUUUUUUUUUUAUUCUUCAAUGUUACAAAUGUUUUUAGCUUAACUUUUUAAAGCCAUUUUACAUGCUUUGUUUAUCUUCUUCAUUUAAUUUUGCAAGUACAAGUGGGUGACAAGGCAGUGGAGCAGGUGGCCGACUGGCAUGGGGCGAUGGGACAGAGGGCAGAGGCGGCAGCAGCUUAGGUUAAUUUAGCAUUUUUUGUUUUGUUUUCUAAUAAAUGUAUUAGGCUAGAAUUAGGCUGAAAUUAGGCCUUGCUUUGUAAUUGGGUUUAAAUGGGUUUAGGGUUUUAUUUUAGCCCCGGUAGAAUUUGGGCUGUAAAAUAUUUAUAAAUAAGUUCAUCUAACAAACACACGAAUUCGUUACUCUAUUGCAAUGGGGCUGCUAGACUUUUCUGGGUGUUUAGUGCUCAAACAAGACAUUAUUUUGAAGUAGACGUAUAUCCUCUCAACACUCGAAAAGGUAACGUUGUUGUUUUAUCCCAGAAGAAGGGGAAUUACAACUGUUAAAUGUAUGCAGAAUAUCUAUCCUUCACAACUGUCAAAAUGAACAUAAUGUUGAUCAUUAGCCCAAAACUCAAAAAAAGAAAAAAAAAGAAAAGAAAAAGCUGCUUAGAAGAUGGAACUGUGAUUGUCAAAACAAUUCAUGUGCCCAGAAUUCGUGGUGAAGCGAAAUUGCCAUUUCAUGCAAAAUCAGGGUAUUGAAUUUUUUUUUAGAUAAACAGCCUUUUCUUGCAAUGAAAGAUGCGGCUCAGAAGUGCUUGAGACUCUAUCAUAAGGACAUGCCUAAGAAAAUAAAAGGUCGUUUUGAGAUCAUCAUCGCCGCUAUUUCACUGCAAUUCCAUCCACUCUAAAUAAAAAGGGUUCCUUUUGCAGCCUUCAUCUUUCAUUUCAUUUCACAAAAAUUUCCUUGGAAAUCAAACAAAAUAUGCAAUUAGAAACAGAAGUUAUAGAAAAUAAGUGGCAAAAGGGAGUAGCUGGUUUCUCAUCAUGACAAGAAAUAAUAAAAUGAUAGAAAAAAGAAGAAGAAGGCAUUGAUUUCUCUAGUUAAUCACAACGCUGCAAAUAAGACGCAGCCGAAGCAAGCAGCUAAUUGAAGAACUUAAAGGUUGCAUUAAUUUUAAAAAAAAAUUCAGUGAUCCUCAUCAGGUAGCUUUAUAUAUAUAUAGUCAGUGAGGCUUUGGAGUUAGGGCUUACAUGGUAUCACCUGAAAAGACAAAAUAGCCC